rnacentral:lncRNA from 1 species
AUUGGGUUGCCAAAAUGCAAAUAAACCCCUCAACUUUUACUUUAAUACACUGCCCGAACUGGGCUGUUCGCGCAGGCGGGGACCGCUCUCUCCUUCAGGGACCGGUUCCCGAAGGCUCUCCCCGCGCAGCCAGAGCUGCUGCGCGCAGGGCAACCGGUCUCUCCUUGGGGGGACCGGUCUCUCGGGGACCGGUCUCUCAGGCAGGGACCGGUUCCCGAGAGCUGGUUUCUCAGGACUUAGCCGAUUUUUCGGCUGUCUCAAUUCAUACGCGUUCGGGGACUGGUCUCUCCCACUAGGGACCGGUCCUCGAGAGCUCAAAACUGCAGAAUGCAGAUUUUUUGAUCCUUUAGCUCUCGAAAACCUCCCGUAAUUCACUUUUAAUCAUUUUAACACCUUCGGACUUUCCAAAGUGUACCGUCCUCGCACUUUGGUCAAUUUGACUAAAGUUCGACACCUUUAUUUUUCGAAUUUUCGGUAUAUUACAUUCUCCACUCCUUAAAAUAAUUUCGUUCGCGAAAUUACGCAUACCUUAAUUUGUCGACUCAAACAGAUGCGGAUACUCUCGCCGCAU